GAGGACUCCUCAUUUAUCCAUCUGCCAUUCUAUUCUCCACCUGGGCCCCACAUUACAGUCACGGAGAGAAUUUGAAAGAAAAUGAAAAGGUCAGGUGCCUAAGCCAGAUCGAGUAGAUCAGAAAGUUUGCAGCAGGGCCUGGGGUCAUCGUUUUCCAGGUGAGUUUAAUGUGCAGCCCCAGAGAGUAAUGCCUCACAGGCGGCAACAAUCGCUGUUAAAAGGAUCAUGCUGUCCUCAUAAAGCAGGCUUUGGGCUAAGUACUUUCCUAGUAACACCUAAUAACACAGAUCUCCAGGUGAUGCCGUUGCACCACCGAGGUCGAGAACCAGUGCCAGUCGCAGCGUUAGUUCGAGAAGCUUCACUACCCCCUCAUGAGGUAGGCUGGCUGUUGCAGCAUUUUACAGAUGAGGAAACAGGUUAAGGGAGGUUGAGUGUGCUCGAGUCCCUCUGGGAGCAAGUCCCGUGGCGAGGCGGCCAGUCCAGCCUGAGCAGUCUGAGCCUGGAGCCCCGCCGUCCUCUCCUGCCUUCUUUAGGAGGAAGCACGUCAGGGUCACUGAGCUGCGUUCUGUCGCCCUUCGCCCCACAGGACUCGGUUCGAGGUCAUAUGUCUUUCUGGAGCAGGAACUAAUGAAUCCCAGCACCUUGCCUGAUGCAGAGGAGGCUCAAACGUCGCUUGAUGAUGGGUACCCCUGAGUGUUUGCGGCUAUCUGGAGCUGUCUGUACUUCUGAGACCUUCACUCGUCGAGCCUAUUUACAGACUAAGCAGUCUCCACCCUGGCUAGUUGGCUGGUUACUGCCCAUCUGAAAAACAAAAGCAAAGCAUGCAAUACACAAGUUAGAAACACACUUUCACUCAUCUCCUGCAACUGAAAGAACCAUCAGAAACUGCCAUUCUGGAACCGAGGGAAAACCAGUAUGAGCUCUCUGAUUCCAGCUUUAUCUUCAUCUUGAAGCUUACACAACUCACAGAUAAAUUAUAAGUUAUGAUAAAGAUUCCCACCAAUGACAAACUGACUCACUGUCCUCCACAUCCUUUCAUCUCUCUGGAUUCCACUUCUAAGCUCUUUUGUGUUCUGUCAAGACGGAGUGUGCCAUUUGCCAAAAUGACAGAGAGUGUGCCAGCAUUGGGACAUAUUUUCCACUUUACCUGUAUUGAAAAAACGUUAUCGUACUAAGGUGUUUUUCCCCCGCCCCAUGAUUGCUUUUUGUCCCUAUAAAAAGCGCCGCACCAGCUUCGUGAAAUGCUUUGUAUCUGUUCCUAUCCAGUGAUGAAAAUAGAAUGAAAGGUUCAAGUGACUUUUGUUUGUUAAAAUAUAACAAAUGAUUAUCCUAGAAACACCAUACCCUCAUAGCACUAUUUUCAUUCUUGUUAUGUUUUAGCUUUUUCAUUGCCAAGUGCCCGCUUGAUCUGGGUACCAAAACCACAGUUUAUGGACAAGAUUUCAAAGAACGGCAAUACGACAGUUCUCUUGGUUGGCUGACAUCUCAAAAAUGUUUUGCCUAAAGCCCUCCCAGAAGAAAAGAAGUUAUUCUUUGGUUGUAAAAAUUAUAAAAAGAAAAGGCAAGGAGGAAAAAAAACAAACAAUGGGCAAGCCUCUUUUUAAUGCAAUCAAAUGGGAUUUAAAUGAAAGCAAUUGUGUUAUACUUUAUGGAGGCGGUAGGGAGUCACUCUGGAAAUCCAUUCCUUUGAGAGCUGCCAUUCUACAUUAGCUGAGCUCAGACUGCUGUUUGUUGCUGCCAGUGCCAAAGUGGUUUAUACCUUUGCUGUAAAGAGGUCCCCGCUGAUGAAACGGCUCUGGCUAUUUGAGGUCCUAGGUGACAAGAGAAAGUGAUAUCACGCUGCAGGGUUUUGCUUGUCACAUCUAUCAGUAAUGGAAGAUACACGGACGCAGUGUAUGAAAUUCCAUCUCUGUGGAAGGGACAGCAUUCUCGGAAACAGAAAGUGCUAUCUUCGCCGUCAGCUUAAAAUGAUUAUAUUUAGCAACUGUGUACAUUCUUUAAGGGCUUCUACAUAUAAAAAUUAGUUAAUUAGCAAUCGUUACCUUCUGUUAGGGAAGCAUGGAUUAUUAUUAUCCUAAUUUUACAGACAGAGUAAAUGAGAAUGAUGGAGAAGGUGCCAGGAGAAAAAUUAACAUGAAUGAUGAACUCCAGACCACAGGCCUGAGCUGCAAAAAUUUUAAAGAUUUUAAAGAGCUUGCUUAUUUUAAAGAGCACGCUUUCUUAAAGCAGGUUUUCCAAAUUUAGAAAAAAAGUUCUAUUUAUUAAUGAAACCAGUGCUGGGAUUCUGGGCUUUAUUAAUUUAUGAAUAUUUAUUUUUAUGAUUUUUUAUCUUCCAUACAUCUAUGAAGGUCUUCCUUUUGAUGGGGAUUUCAUGUGAUUAUAAUUCUUACUCUUCAAAUUGCAUUCCUUGGUAUUUUGCUCUUUCAGAAUAAUCAAAGAUCUUUGAGGCUUUAUUAACAGAAAACGGAUAUUUUUUUUGGACUUGUAAAUAUUUGAGUAAGUUACAUAUACAAUAUACAAGUUUAGUGAGUGUCCAGUGUGGGCCAAACACUGUCCCAGGGCCUGGGAUCUAGCACUGACAGACGAGACAGGUAUCUUUUAAACUUUGAGUUUAAAUUUGACUUUAGAAACUGUAUCUUCCUGUCAUUUAGCUGAAGGAGGAGGGUCUAUUGUUGCAAAAAAUUAAAAAUAAAAACCCAGUCAUUUUGAACGUAGUUAUUAAAAAGUAAAAGAGGUUUGAAAAUGCUAUACUGCUGGUUUUGAAGAUAAGAGGAUGGGGCUGUGAGCCAUGGAAUGUGAGGUGGUUCUAGAAGCUGAAAAGGUCAGGAAGAGAAUCGUCCCCUGGAGCCUCUGGAAGGAAUGCAGUCUUCCCAACACCUUGGUUUCAGUCCCAUGGGACACACUAUAGAUUUUUACUUCUAGAAUGAUAAGAGAUUAAACUUUGUGUUUUUAAAAGCAGCCCUCACCAAAAAAAGCACUACAUGGCCUUGUGCACGUGUGUGUGCUAAGUUGCCUCAAUUGUGUCCAACUCUUUGUGACCCUAUAGACUGUAGCCCG